UACGUAGGGGGCAAGCGUUGUCCGGAAUCAUUGGGCGUAAAGAGCGUGUAGGCGGCCCGAUAAGUCCGCCGUGAAAGUCCAGGGCUCAACCCUGGAAUGCCGGUGGAAACUGUCGGGCUGGAGUCCGGAAGAGGCGAGUGGAAUUCCUGGUGUAGCGGUGAGAUGCGCAGAUAUCAGGAGGAACACCUAUUGCGAAGGCAGCUCGCUGGGACGUAACUGACGCUGAGACGCGAAAGCGUGGGGAGCAAACAGG
rnacentral:rRNA from 1 species